rnacentral:rRNA from 1 species
CAAUAGCGUAUAUUUAAGUUGCUGCAGUUAAAAAGCUCGGAGUUGGAUUUCGGGUGGGAAUGGCCGGUCCGCCGUUUCGGUGUGCACUUGCUACGCCCACCUUGCUGCCGGGGACGUGCUCUUGAGUUCACGCUCGGGACACGGGGUCGGCGAGGUUACUUUGAGUAAAUUAGAGUGUUCAAAGCAGGCCUACGCUCUGAAUACAUUAGCAUGGAAUAACACGAUAGGACUCUGGCCUAUCUUGUUGGUCUGUAGGACCGGAGUAAUGAUUAAGAGGGACAGUCGGGGGCAUUCGUAUUUCAUUGUCAGAGGUGAAAUUCUUGGAUUUAUGAAAGACGAACUACUGCGAAAGCAUUUGCCAAGGAUGUUUUCAUUAA